rnacentral:rRNA from 1 species
CCCUUAGAUGUUCUGGGCUGCACGCGCGCUACACUGUCGGAUUCAGCGAGUCAUAUCCUUAACCGAAAGGUUUGGGUAAUCUUUUGAAAGUCCGACGUGAUGGGGAUUGAUCAUUGCAAUUAUUGAUCAUGAACGAGGAAUUCCUAGUAAGCGCGAGUCAUCAGCUCGCGUUGAUUACGUCCCUGCCCUUUGUACACACCGCCCGUCGCUACUACCGAUUGAAUGGUUUAGUGAGAUAUUCGGAUUGGCGCCUACGCGGCUUCUCUGAGGCCACGCUGGAUGCCGAAAAGUUGCUCAAACUGUAUCAUUUAGAGGAAGUAAAAGUCGUAACA